rnacentral:lncRNA from 1 species
AUGGUGAGUCUUUCCAUGGUAGUUGAUGGAGGACAUUGGUGGUGCGAAGUAAGUGAUGAUGUGGGCCUGCGCCCCAGCAUGGACCAUCAGAUUUUCACACACACAGGGAAGUCUAUGUUGAACACUGUGAAUGUUGAGGGAUUGCAUAUAUGUUCCGGUCAGGACCUCACAGUGAACUUAGCAUUGGUCAUUCAUGGGGGCAGGGACUUUGCUGGUGUGCAGGUAAGGGAGGCUGUGGCCCUACACCACGGCACAAGCCAUCUGAUCUCCAAAUAG